GCCCGGGUGAUGAAAUUGGUAACCAUGCGCGACUCAAAAUCGCGUGCCGCAAGGCUUGGGAGUUCAAGUCUCCCCCUGGGCA
rnacentral:tRNA from 1 species